rnacentral:rRNA from 1 species
AAUAUUGCACAAGGGAGGAAACUGUGAUGCAGUGUGGCCGCGUGAACGAUGAAUGCCCUCGGGUCGUAAAGUUCUUGUCUUGGGGACGAUAAUGACGGUACCCAAGGAGGAAGCCCCGGCUAACUACGUGCUAGCAGCCGCGGUAAUACGUAGGGGGCAAGCGUUGUCCGGAUUUAUUGGGCGUAAAGGGUGCGUAGGCGGCCUUUUAAGUCAGAUGUGCAAGGUCACGGCUCAACCGUGGUAAGCAUUUGAAACUGGAAGGCUUGAGUUAAGGAGAGGAAAGUGGAAUUCCUAGUGUAGCGGUGAAAUGCGUAGAUAUUAGGAGGAAUACCGGUGGCGAAGGCGACUUUCUGGACUUAUACUGACGCUGAGGCACGAAAGCGUGGGGAGCAAACAG